rnacentral:snRNA from 1 species
AUCACUUCUCAGCCUUUGGCUAAGAUCAAGUGUAGUAUCUGUUCUUACUGAUUUACUAUUUGAUUCGUCCUCUAAGGCUAAUGUGGAUAAUACGGAGCAGGGAGGUGGAAUAAUAACUUCUCUCCAUACAUGGACCUGAUAUUGUAGCACAUGCAGGAAUGAUGCACUGUAU